CACUGUUCUAUGUUGUUACUUGUCCAUGGAGACCGCAGCCAGCCAUCCAUCCAUCUGGUUUGGUAUUAGCCGCUUCUCGUCUGCCUCAUGAACUAAUCCAGCAUCUUCUUGUCCACGCUGCAUUCAAUCCAAACGAUGCAGCAACCUUCUUCAUCAGACUCCAUGAACAAUGAACGAUGAACAGUAGUACAUGGAGAAUCAUUCGAGGAUGAGCUCUCCUGUUCACCUACUUGUUUUGGUACGCAAACACCAUAUGCUUCCUAUCCAUUGUGUCUUCUCGCAAGUGUCCAGUGAAGUCCCUAUAAGGAACAUUGCCUCUAGGGAGGGGCAUCACCAGCUUCUUCUUCUUCCGGCCGGGAAGGAGAGACCAAAGAAGCGGUGGAGGAGGGUUUGGUUGCUGUAGCAAUAGCUAUCAAGAAUGAUGACCGCGUCAAGAAAGAAAAGGCUGCGAGUGACAUGAACAAAAACCAAAUCUCGAUUGCUACUCCCUUUCUCCUUUCCUCGGAUUUGAACUUUGCAUCGUAGACAUGCACAGAAAAGUAGAUGUCGACAUGGAUGAGUCCCUCCAUCACCCAUCCAUGUGCUGCAGUGGAAAAGGGUGUUCCUCUCUUGUACCGGGAUGAGGUAGAAAACACAUAAGAUAUGCUAUCUUCUCGAUGACAGCAGCUCCGUGAGUUGCUUGUGAAGAAGAUGAGGUAAAACACACAUAACUCCAAUCACACGAGAAUCCAUGAGAGAUAUGGGUGACUCGUUGAUGACAGCAGCUUCAUGCGUUCCUGUGAAGAUCUGGCGCAGAGUAGUUCUGACACAGAUCAGGAAAUCCUUGUUCUAUCUGUUGACAUAUUGCUAUUCCUCUUCCUUGUUUCUUUUUGCCUUGUUGGAAGUAACGUAAUUUGUGAGCUCGUUAGAUCUCUCCAGACUUGCGCCUCGCAAUGGGCUUCUGCAAUUCUCUAUUUACGAUUCACAGGUGGAUCUGCCGCCUUCCGUCGAAAGAAGAAAAAGAUCAGAAUUUGUUUUACCUGCCGCUCUCGGCAAUGGCCAUUGAUGAUGCCCAAGGGUUGCAAUGAGAAGCGCAGUGAGCUCAGCCACCACCUUUUCAUAUCAUUUUGCAGUCUGGAUUUACCACCACCAUUGACGCUGAACAGCCCUGCUUGCACUACUGCUGUCUCCUCUCUUCUUAUCGUUUUGUUCUUGUGAUUCAUAUGAUGUGAGACUUGAUUCCUGUGCAGGAAUGUUAGAUCUCCUCCUGGUUUGGUGGAUUUAGUAACAGUGAUCCAAUGAGCUUAUGGAUGGUAAUCUAGUAAAUGAGAUUUGUUAGAUCUCCUCGCUGUCCUUUUAAGCUUAAUCUUGUUAAGCUGGAUAAACUGUGGUACAUUUUGUGUGGAUGCAUGCACCCAUAAUUACUAUAACACACACACACACAGAGAGAGAGAGAGAGAGAGAGAGAGAGAGAGAGAGAGAG
rnacentral:lncRNA from 1 species